ACAGGAAGAUGCAAAUGACAAUUUGACACCAUUAAGAACAUUCUAGACAACAACAGCCAUCUGUGAAACAUCCCCACACAGAGACAUAUAAAUACUCACUUUGCUUUAGCAAAGAAAGUUAGAUGCCAAUAACAUGGCAGUAUGAGUCAAUU